AGUACAAAUUGGAUGAUGAACACAUGAAAUUUAUGACGAAUGAAGCUAUAUUUUAUUCUUAAUUUUGUCAUUACUUUGUUAUCUAAUUGGAUCAUUAGGAAUAUGGUUCGACCGACAAUAAUAAUAGACAAAUAUAAUUGGAUUAAGAAAUAUAGAAUUAUGUGUACAAUCACUUCUUUAGAAAAUAAGAGAAUAACUUAAAAAAUGAUUUUAGGUUUGAUCAAAAGAAAAUUUAAAGUUUAAUAUAUAAGUGAUAAUUAACGAUAAAGUUGGAAAGCUCUGCU
rnacentral:lncRNA from 1 species